rnacentral:rRNA from 1 species
UAGGGAAUCUUCGGCAAUGGACGAAAGUCUGACCGAGCAACGCCGCGUGAGUGAAGAAGGUUUUCGGAUCGUAAAACUCUGUUGUUAGAGAAGAACAAGGACGUUAGUAACUGAACGUCCCCUGACGGUAUCUAACCAGAAAGCCACGGCUAACUACUUGCCAGCAGCCGCGGUAAUACGUAGGUGGCAAGCGUUGUCCGGAUUUAUUGGGCGUAAAGCGAGCGCAGGCGGUUUCUUAAGUCUGAUGUGAAAGCCCCCGGCUCAACCGGGGAGGGUCAUUGGAAACUGGGAGACUUGAGUGCAGAAGAGGAGAGUGGAAUUCCAUGUGUAGCGGUGAAAUGCGUAGAUAUAUGGAGGAACACCAGUGGAGAAGGCGGCUAUCUGGUCUGUAACUGACGCUGAGGCUAGAAAGCGUGGGGAGCAAACAGG